rnacentral:rRNA from 1 species
GACGAACGCUGGCGGCGUGCUUAACACAUGCAAGUCGAACGGAAAGGCCCUGCUUUUGUGGGGUGCUCGAGUGGCGAACGGGUGAGUAACACGUGAGUAACCGGCCCUUGACUUUGGGAUAACUUCAGGAAACUGGGGCUAAUACCGGAUAGGAGCUCCUGCUGCAUGGUGGGGGUUGGAAAGUUUCGGCGGUUGGGGAUGGACUCGCGGCUUAUCAGCUUGUUGGUGGGGUAGUGGCUUACCAAGGCUUUGACGGGUAGCCGGCCUGAGAGGGUGACCGGCCACAUUGGGACUGCGAUACGGCCCAGACUCCUACGGGAGGCAGCAGUGGCGAAUAUUGCACAAUGGGCGGAAGCCUGCUGCAGCAACGCCGCGUGCGGGAUGACGGCCUUCGGGUUGUAAACCGCUUUCGCCUGUGACGAAGCGUGAGUGACGGUAAUGGGUAAAGAAGCACCGGCUAACUACGUG